UGUUGCGACGCCGCACAUUUUGAACCGGUCUAAAAUAUGAACCCGUCUAACCACAACAUAACUGCAGCAUGACAGUUCUCGCGCGGUAGUAGUGGUAGGUGAAAUAAGAGGGAAAGUAGAUGAAUGAGGUGCAAGUAGAAUUCGAUAAAAACAACGGAAUUUCGCCAUCGUAAAAGUAGGAAAAGAAAAUCAGUUUAGAGUUAUUAAAGUUAUUUAAAAUUUAUUUCGGUAACCAAAUUACACUAAUUGGUGCUUCCGUAAGUUGUGGGAGUGCGGUGUAAACUGAUAUACAAAGUCCGUAAGUUGAAACCUGUAGAGAAAAAAGGUAAAUUAUUAGUGAAACUUAGCAAAUACUUACCUGGAUUUCUCCCACUAGCUGUGCAAAUACCGGUGCUUGGUACGCCCCGAAACAGGGGAAAAUAACCAGAAAAGCUGCCGUGCCAGUGGAUUAUAUCGUAAGUAGACGCAAGAAUAGAAGUUUUCUUAUGUGUAAUGUAUAAUUGAAAAUAUUUGUGAUUACAAAAAUAGCAUCCGCGCAACAUACCGAUUAGGGUAACGGCCCCAAUUAUAGUCCAACCAGAGAAUUGAGAAAAGAAGUCGUGGCAAGGAAACCAUUUAAUUGUAAGUUGUUAGUAAUUUUAGUCUGUGUUGUGAAUUGUGUUUAUUGAAUUUGUUAAUAAAUUUCAGUUUAAGCGUUGCUUCAAAAAACCUGAGCCGCUAUAAAAAUCUGGUUUCCCUCUCGGGAACAUUCUUAAAAAUUAAAUGACACCCGCGAAGUAACUUCCGCGAAGUGAUAGUGUCAAGUGAGAAGUUCGGACCUGCCAAAAGAUGACUUCCGAUGCUGAGUCCACCCACAACCAAACCGUCAUGGAUCUGACGGCAACUCAAUGUACGAUUUGUGGACUAUCUACGAGCGACGAGGUGAUGGUCUGCUGUGACGGAUGUUCUAAAUGCUUCCAUAUAUGUUGCGUGGACAUCGAUGAGGACAAUCUGCCGAAGAAGUGGUACUGCCAAAGCAAGGCCUGCCAGAAGAAGGCCCAGGAGUACCGGCAGAAGCAGAAGGACGCCAAGAAGCAGCCUCGCACCCGGAAAAACGACAACGAGUCGGACAUAUCCAGCGUCAGCUCUCGUCUAGCUGCGUCUAGCGUGGAAGCAAAAGGCCGAGCGUUAGAAGAGAAGCAGAAGCAGCAGUAUGAAGAGCUGGAGGUGGAGAUGCUGCUGCGGAAGAAAGAAAUGGCGAUGCAGCGCGCAUUCGAGCAGCGAAAGAUGGAGUUGGAGCUACAGAUGCGUGCUGAAGAAGAAGUGAAGCAAAGGGCAUGGCAAGCGGAGAUGCUCCAAAAGAAGAAGGAGCAGCUUCAGCGGCUGAAGGCGAACAGGAAGUCGUCCUUCGAGAUGCAAAUGGCGGCCAUGGAUGAGGAGUUAGCUGAACUUUCGGGUCGAAAGUCGAAGCCGGCGCCGAAAGUAGUCACGGACGUUUCGCGAGCGAUUCCUUCCGGCAAAAUCAACCCGAACGUGUUGAAGCUGAGCAAGGAGAAGGAGAGAAAGCAAACGCGAGGCUACGACAGCACCGACGAAGAAGACGAGGACGAGUAUUCUGACGAUUCGGAUCUGCAGAGUCAGAGUUCGGUCUCGUCGAUGGAUCGCAAGACAAAACGGAAGAUGCGCAAUAAAGUGGGAAGUCUCAGCCAAAACGGGCUGGGGCAGCAGCAGACCGGACCGACGAAGGCACAGCUGGCUGCGAGGAUGGGGUUAACCUACAAACUCCCAAAAUUCUCCGGCAAACCAGCACAGUGGCCAUUGUUCUACGCGGCCUACAAAGUGUCCAACGAUGUCUGCGGCUACAUGAACCACGAGAACUUGAUGCGACUUCAGGAAGCCCUGGAAGGCGACGCUCUCGAGCUGGUGUCCGGGCAGUUGCUUCUUCCCGAAUCCAUCCCGCAAGUAAUCGAGAAGCUGCGCCGGCACUUCGGCCGCCCGGAACAACUGCUUCAAUGCCUGCUGGACAAGGUGAACCGGCUGGAACCCCCGAGGCCGGACAAUCUGAGGAGUUUUGUUCCAUUCGGAAACACGGUGGAGCAACUCUGCGGCCAUCUAGAGGCAGCGGAUCUACGGCAACACCUCGUCAACCCGCUGCUGAUAAAGUCGCUGGUCGCCAAGCUGCCGGAUCGGGAAAAGCGUGAGUGGGUCCAUUACCGGCGAGGUCGAGGGGAAACAACGUUGCGGACGCUGACGGAUUUCCUGAUGGACAUCGUGGCAGACGCCUGCGAAGCUAACGUUGACGUGGACUUCGUGGAGUUCAAUUCACCGCCGUCGUCCGAAGCAGAUUCCCAAUCCGAAGAGGAGGGUUCGGAUGAGGCUGGACCCAACCCGCUCAUGCAUCCGGUCGAAAAUACGGUCGGGCUAAGUGCACACAUCCGGACAAACUGCACGGUAUUGUUCCGGAUCGUUCCGGUGCAGCUGCACUACGGUGGAAAAACGGUGUCAGUGCUGGCGUUCCUGGACGAAGGUGCUUCCGUCACGCUGGUGGAGAAAAAGCUCGCCGACCGCCUGGGCGCGGUCGGAGUACAAGAGCGAUUGACCAUCCAGUGGACGGGAAACAUGUCGAGAGAGGAGGAUUCCCGAAGAAUGAGUCUUUGGGCGUCGGGAACAGGCGCUGCAGCCGGCGGCAAAAUGCUGUUACACACAGUGCACACGGUAGACAAACUGAUGCUGCCACAUCAAAGGUUGGAUUCUGAGGAGUUUGCAGCACAGUACGAGCACAUGCGAGGACUGCCCAUUGAAUCGUACGACGGACAGCCGCAGUUGCUGAUUGGGGUAAACAAUAUCCACGCGUUUGCACCGAUGGAGGCAAAGGUGGGUACGCCAGUGGAACCGAUUGCUGUUCGAACCAAACUAGGAUGGACGGUCUAUGGGCCGCGACAGCAAACCCCAGCGGCGGCCGACAACUAUCUCGGUUACCACCGGCAGGUAACAAACGAGGAUCUGCCGCCCGAGAGUCAUUAUGCGUCGAAAGAAUCGGUGGUGACAAUUUCACGGGGCACCGUGGAGAAGAAAUGGGCCCAGCGAAUAAGAGAGCGAACCGCCCAACUCGUCGGCGAUCGCUGCGAAGACGAAUCGCUGUCGAAGACCCGGAGACAAGAAAUUAAAACGUGUCGUCAUCCGGACAGCUCCGGAAAAAUCGCCACGAACAUGGCGGUUCUCAUCCCGAACGCAAGAAGACAGGCUGAACAACAAAAUAGGCGGGUUCGAAAUCCGAAACGGGAUGAUCAACUCGCUGGAAGCCUUGCGGAGCCUAGAAGAGGCGAAACCGACGACACCGACGCAUUUGAUGGCGAAGGAGAGAGUCCUGGGAGCGGUCAGGGAUCCAAGUGGGGAUCGGCGUUUUCGACUCGCUUUUCGACGAGGCACCGCGGCGAGUUGUUGCCGCAGUUGUACGAGGAAAAGUGGUCGUCGAGAAAGCUCGUCGCAAGUGUCGCAAAACCGGAGGAAGUCAAGAACGGUCGGCGAAAGGAGAAGCUUGGGGUGAUGCGUGCGCUCGAUGAGGGGCGCAAGUUGUUGGGCAAGAUCCUACCAACGACACUAGCGGAAACGGCUGGCAAUGGUUCGACGAUUCUUCGUGGUCGACGGGAAAUCCCGACAGUCUUGCAGAUGAAGCUUCAUCGCUGCGGUCAUCAAGGUCUCAGAAGGACGAGCUCGACAGACAAACGUGAGGACGAAGAUGGUAAGGCGCAGAGACGGGACUUGGUAAAGCUUGCGUCGUUAAGAGGUAAUGUAAAUCCGAAAAUGCCGGAUGUUACGGGCUGGGGUGUUGCGACGCCGCACAUUUUGAACCGGUCUAAAAUAUGAACCCGUCUAACCACAACAUAACUGCAGCAUGACAGUUCUCGCGCGGUAGUAGUGGUAGGUGAAAUAAGAGGGAAAGUAGAUGAAUGAGGUGCAAGUAGAAUUCGAUAAAAACAACGGAAUUUCGCCAUCGUAAAAGUAGGAAAAGAAAAUCAGUUUAGAGUUAUUAAAGUUAUUUAAAAUUUAUUUCGGUAACCAAAUUACACUAAUUGGUGCUUCCGUAAGUUGUGGGAGUGCGGUGUAAACUGAUAUACAAAGUCCGUAAGUUGAAACCUGUAGAGAAAAAAGGUAAAUUAUUAGUGAAACUUAGCAAAUACUUACCUGGAUUUCUCCCACUAGCUGUGCAAAUACCGGUGCUUGGUACGCCCCGAAACAGGGGAAAAUAACCAGAAAAGCUGCCGUGCCAGUGGAUUAUAUCCAUCCGCGCAACAUACCGAUUAGGGUAACGGCCCCAAUUAUAGUCCAACCAGAGAAUUGAGAAAAGAAGUCGUGGCAAGGAAACCAUUUAAUUGUAAGUUGUUAGUAAUUUUAGUCUGUGUUGUGAAUUGUGUUUAUUGAAUUUGUUAAUAAAUUUCAGUUUAAGCGUUGCUUCAAAAAACCUGAGCCGCUAUAAAAAUCUGGUUUCCCUCUCGGGAACAAUUGCUAAAAAACAACAAAACCUUUUAUUGGCUUCUAACCACUGCUACUUCCGAAGCGUCGAUGGGCGAAUGAGUAAAGCACGCACUCGCUAACCUUGACGUUCCUGGUUCGAUUCCAGGUUGCGAUUUUUUUAAUUUGUGCAAAAUAUUUCAUAAAAGUAAGUAUGAUAUUCAUACGAAAUAAUUUCAGAUUUUAUACGUUAUCGGUAUGGUUUUCAUACGUGUCUGUUAUGAAAUUUAUACAGUAACAGUAUGACAAUAAUAGUUGGCGCUUGGAAUCCAAAAUCAUAGUUCGUAACUAUGAUUUUCGCAAGAAAUUCUUGUGGCAAAAAAUCAUAGUUGAUUCGUAUGAUUUUCGGAGUUGCAGUAUCCUCAGUGUAGGUCGGCUCCAGAGGCACGUUCUCCUCCAUUUGGGAAAUUUGUGCCAUCGCCAUGAACACGAGCCUAUUCAUCAUUUACCUGACGGAGAAGGGAAGGGAAAAGGAUAUGACAGGGGAAAUGACAGGGGAAAUGACAGGUAAG